CUGAGGUCUGCAAGGCAAACCUCUGUGGGUAAUAUGGGAACAUGCAGCAUGCAGGCAGACAACUGGAAGAGCCGUUUGCAGCCUUUAUUUGGACACAGCAAAGUCUCGCGUUGCAGAGGCUAAGGGCUGGGAAGGAAAUUUGACACUAAAAUAACAGCACUUAAAGUGAGAAAUAUGUAGGUAGCACCUGUGCUUUGGUGACUGGGGACUGACAGCUGUUUCCCAUUGGGGAGGCCCCAAAUGAGUCUGCUGCCAGCACUUCCUUGCCAUAAUGUUGAUGAAUGUGGUUUCCUCCAUGCUUUCCGAAUCAGUUGUUCAGAAAAUUCCAUCUAGAAGUCUUAAUUUUCUCCAACCUCCCGCGAUCCCACACUGGCAGCUACCUCAACAGGUUCUCCUUGCAAGCUUCUUCCAAUCGAACUCUGCUCUCCCUCCAAGCCACCCAGGCACCCUGGAUUCAGAUGCUCCUUCAACAACAGGUUCAACUGUGAUGCCACCUUCCACAAUCCCUCUCAGACUCCACUCAUUUCUCCCUGAUAGUAAAUAAUCAACCUCUCUGUAAGCCGACUUCGAUCUUCACUACUUAGCUAUCCAUUCGAAACCUAACUUCUCAAUACUUUUCAG